AUUGAACGCUGGCGGCAGGCCUAACACAUGCAAGUCGAGCGGAUGAAGGGAGCUUGCUCCUGGAUUCAGCGGCGGACGGAUGAGUAAUGCCUAGGAAUCUGCCUGGUAGUGGGGGAUAACGUCCGGAAACGGGCGCUAAUACCGCAUACGUCCUGAGGGAGAAAGUGGGGGAUCUUCGGACCUCACGCUAUCAGAUGAGCCUAGGUCGGAUUAGCUAGUUGGUGGGGUAAAGGCCUACCAAGGCGACGAUCCGUAACUGGUCUGAGAGGAUGAUCAGUCACACUGGAACUGAGACACGGUCCAGGCUCCUACGGGAGGCAGCAGUGGGGAAUCUUGGACAAUGGGCGAAAGCCUGAUCCAGCCAUGCCACGUGUGUGAAGAAGGUCUUCGGAUUGUAAAGCACUUUAAGUUGGGAGGAAGGAAAGUAAGUGAAUAUCUUGCUGUCUUGACGUUACCAACAGAAUAAGCCCCGGCUAACUUCGUG
rnacentral:rRNA from 1 species